CUACGGGCGGCAGCAGUGAGGAAUAUUGGUCAAUGGCCGAGAGGCUGAACCAGCCAUCCCGCGUGCAGGAUGACGGCCCUAUGGGUUGUAAACUGCUUUUCUACGCCAAGAAAUCUGAUUACGUGUAAUUAGUUGACGGUAGCGUAGGAAUAAGCAUCGGCUAACUCCGUGCCAGCAGCCGCGGUAAUACGGAGGAUGCAAGCGUUAUCCGGAUUCAUUGGGUUUAAAGGGUGCGCAGGCGGGCUUGUAAGUCAGUGGUGAAAUACUGCCGCUUAACGGUAGAACUGCCAUUGAUACUGCAAGUCUUGAAUAUGGUUGAGGUAGGCGGAAUGUGUUGUGUAGCGGUGAAAUGCAUAGAUAUGACACAGAACGCCGAUUGCGAAGGCAGCUUACUAAGCCAUUAUUGACGCUGAGGCACGAAAGCGUGGGGAGCGAACAGGAUUAGAUACCCGGGUAGUC
rnacentral:rRNA from 1 species